UACGGGGGGGCAAGCGUUGUUCGGAAUUACUGGGCGUAAAGGGCUCGUAGGCGGCCAACUAAGUCAGACGUGAAAUCCCUCGGCUUAACCGGGGAACUGCGUCUGAUACUGGAUGGCUUGAGUUUGGGAGAGGGAUGCGGAAUUCCAGGUGUAGCGGUGAAAUGCGCAGAGAUCAGGAGGAACACCCGUAGCGAAGGCGGCACUCUGGGCCGAUACUGACACUGAGGAGCGAAAGCGUGGGGAGCGAACAGG
rnacentral:rRNA from 1 species